rnacentral:rRNA from 1 species
UACGUAGGUUUCGAGCGUUGUCCGGAAUUAUUGGGCGUAAAGAGCUCGUAGGCGGUUUGUCGCGUCGACUGUGAAAACCUACAGCUUAACUGUGGGCUUGCAGUCGAUACGGGCAGACUUGAGUUCGGUAGGGGAGACUGGAAUUCCUGGUGUAGCGGUGAAAUGCGCAGAUAUCAGGAGGAACACCGGUGGCGAAGGCGGGUCUCUGGGCCGAUACUGACGCUGAGGAGCGAAAGCGUGGGGAGCGAACAGG